CCUAGGAUCGUGCUCGAUUAUGGUUGUUGGUGAGGUAACGGCUCACCAAGCCGAUAAUCGAUAGGGGCCGUGAGAGCGGGAGCCCCAAGAUGGGUACUGAGACAGCGACCCAGGCCUUACGAGGCGCAGCAGGUACGAAACCUCCGCAAUACACGGAAGUGUGACGGGGUUACCCAAAGUGUUCUUAUUGAACUGUGGCAGGUGAGUAAUGUCCCCUGCUAGAAAGGAGAGGGCAAGGCUGGUGCCAGCCGCCGCGGUAAAACCAGCUCUUCAAGUGGUCGGGAUAAUUAUUGGGCUUAAAGUGUCCGUAGCCGGUUUAGUAAGUUCCUGGUAAAAUCAGGUAGCUUAACUAUCUGUAUGCUAGGAAUACUGCUAUACUAGAGGGCGGGAGAGGUCUGAGGUACUACAGGGGUAGGGGUGAAAUCUUAUGAUCCUUGUAGGACCACCAGUGGCGAAGGCGUCAGACUGGAACGCGCCUGACGGUGAGGGACGAAAGCCAGGGGAGCGAACCGGAUUAGAUACCCGGGUAGUCCUGGCCGUAAACGAUGCAUACUAGGUGAUGGUACGGCCAUGAGCCGUGUCAGUGCCGUAGGGAAACCGUUAAGUGUGCCGCCUGGGAAGUACGGUCGCAAGGCUAAAACUUAAAGGAAUUGGCGGGGGAGCACCACAAGGGGUGAAGCCUGCGGUUCAAUUGGACCCAACGCCGGGAAACUUACCAGGGGAGACAGUAGAAUGAAGGUCAGGUUGACGCCCUUACCCGACGAGCUGAGAGGAGGUGCAUGGCCGUCGCCAGUUCGUGCUGUGAGGUAUCCUGUUAAGUCAGGCAACGAACGAGAUCCGCACCUUUAUUUGCCAGCAAGAAGUCACGACUUCGUUGGGAACACUAAAGGGACUGCCGUCGAUAAGACGGAGGAAGGAGCGGGCAAAGGCAGGUCAGUAUGCCCCGAAACCCCUGGGCUACACGCGGGCUGCAAUGAUAUGAACAAUGGGCUGUGACUCCGAAAGGAGAAACCAAUCCCGAAAUCAUAUCUCAGUGGGGAUUGUCGGCUGUAACCCGCUGACAUGAACGUGGAAUCCCUAGUAAUCGUGUGUCAUCAUCGCACGGUGAAUACGUCUCUGCUCCUUGCACACACCGCCCGUCGCUCCAUCCGAGUGUACUAAAAAUGAGGUUUGGUCAAUUUGGUCAUAUCGAGUUUCUAGUAUGCGAGGAGGGAGAAGUCGUAACAAGGUA
rnacentral:rRNA from 1 species